rnacentral:rRNA from 1 species
ACGCUCGACACCUACGGGAAGCAGCAGUGGGGAAUAUUGCACAAUGGGGGAAACCCUGAUGCAGCGACGCCGCGUGAGCGAAGAAGUAUUUCGGUAUGUAAAGCUCUAUCAGCAGGGAAGAAAAUGACGGUACCUGACUAAGAAGCCCCGGCUAACUACGUGCUAGCAGCCGCGGUAAUCUGAGCGGGCUGGCAAGGC